GGCUCGUCAUGGGGUAGCUAGCGUGUGAUUAACAGCCAGCUGCCUUUUGAAGGGCUAU
rnacentral:pre_miRNA from 1 species